GUAUACCAUGUUUUUCCACUAUCUCAAUUUUAGCCUCAGGACUCAAACAUUAGCUUGGAGGUGAGGUAUGCAACAAUGGCCUCUGUUUCUAAUGCUCCUAGUCUGCCAUUUUUCAUCAGGUUUCAAGCAAAACAGAUUAUGUGAUGAAGAGUGGUGUGAGGAAGCUGAAUGUGAUGAAGAGGGGUGCGAGGAAGAUGGUCCUGGCGUAGUAAUCUCCUACAGCAAGGAACAACCUCCAGAAGAUUUGGUAUCUCAACUGUAUAAUGAUUUGAUUGACAACCCGGAUAAAAAGUCAUCUACUCCUAAAGUACCUGAAAGAUCGUACCCCACGUUCAGUGGAGUAUGGCUUCCAAAAAAUAAGAAAAAAGAGACCCACCGAGCCCCCGAGACUAGAAGAUCAUAUCCAAUGUUUAGCGGGGUUUGGCAACCAAAACCUACAAAACGAGAGGACCCUAUAGUAAGCCCUAGACCUUAUCCUUCCUUCAGUGGAGCUUGGUUCUCAAAUUACAAGAAAAAAGAGGCCAUGGAAAAGUCUGUAAAAGCACGAUCUUACCCAACCUUCAGUGGAGUUUGGCAACCAAAACUUGCAAAACGAGAGUUGGUUCGAUCGUAUCCAAUGUUCAGCGGGGUUUGGAAGCCAAAAUUCGUAAAACGAGAGGAUCCCAAAACCCCUGAAGUUAGAAGAUCAUAUCCAACCUUUAGCGGUGUUUGGCAACCAAACUACUCUAAACGAAAGCAGAAUGUGAGAGGCUCCUUUCCCCUGUUCAGUGGUCUUUGGUUUCCAGAAAACAACAAAAGAGAGGUUCGAAACAGUAUUCAACCAAAGAAUUUUUCAAAUGUUAUCAAAAAAUUCUUUCUAAGAAACAUCAAAAGAGGGCUCCCCGGACACUUUGGAAAUGCUGAAUAUCCUGGACACUCUGAAUCUGCUGAAUAUCCUGGACACCCUGAAUCUGCUGAAUAUCCUGGACACCCUGAAUCUACUGAAUAUCCUGGACACUCUGAAUCUGCUGAAUAUCCUGGACACCCUGAAUCUACUGAAUAUCCUGUAUAUUCAAAUGUAGAAGAUUGGAAUAAAUUCUCGUCCUAUAAACAGUUUAGACACGUUUCUAAAAAGUCGAUUAAAAAUGUUGGCGAAGAUAGAAGGUAUAUUCCACUAUUUUCUGGAGUAUGGCAGCAAACUAACUCAGAGGGAAACAAAAAAAGUAAUAUUUAAAGGGAAAAUGUUGGUGAGGAUAGAAGGCGACGCUGGCAAAUAAAUAUGUUCUAGUUAACGCAGAGUUAAAAACAGAUGUAAUUGGAGAGAAAACUGCAAGUAUCUUCCAAAGGGAUUUUUAAAAUAUUUGAAAGAUAUGGUUUUGUAUUAUAUUGCUUGUGUAAAAAAAACUAAAUUUGUGCAAUUACAAUUUUUAUUCUUCUAAUAUCAUUAUACUACCAUUGUAAUGAAAACAAUUUUAUUUUUCCUUUAACAAAACAUCAAAGUAAGUCUUGAAAAAAAAACUCAUUUUGAUUUUGAAAAAAUUAAUAAAAUUCUUGCUUGUAGUUUUGGGAAAGUUUUUAAAAAUAUGUUUACCCUUCUUUCUUGUUCCUAUCCCACUCUUUUCCAUCGAAAGCCCUAAAGCUUGUGACACAGAUAACUGACUUGUAAAAUGAAUCUCCUGGGUCCUCUUCAACAAUUGUAUAAUAUUAUUUAUAUCUUUUUAUAAUUGUACUUUGUACAUGUACAAUUACCAUUAUUGUUUUGAGCAUCACAUCCCUUAACAUUAAGAUGCAUAUAUGCUUAUUAAAUUAAUAUCAUUAUCUAUUGUAUUAAUCGUAUCAUAAUCGCUCAGAAGAUUGUAGUUUUAACCAAUUGAAACCUUAGGCUUUAAUAAUAUAAUUAUUGUU